GGGAGCGCAACUGACGCUCAUGCUCGAAAGUGCGGGUAUCGAACAGGAUUAGAUACCCUGGUAGUCCGCACGGUAAACGAUGGAUGCCCGCUAUUUGUCCAUUAGGAUAAGUGGCCAAGUGAAAACGUUAAGCAUCCCACCUGGGGAGUACGCCGGCAACGGUGAAACUCAAAGGAAUUGACGGGGGCCCGCACAAGCGGAGGAACAUGUGGUUUAAUUCGAUGAUACGCGAGGAACCUUACCCGGGCUUGAAUUGUGAGAGAAGGAUCCAGAGAUGGUGACGCCCUUCGGGGCUCUCAUGAAGGUGCUGCAUGGUUGCCGUCAGCUCGUGCCGUGAGGUGUCGGCUUAAGUGCCAUAACGAGCGCAACCCCUCUCUUCAGUUGCCAUCAGGUUAAGCUGGGCACUCUGGAGACACUGCCACCGUAAGGUGUGAGGAAGGUGGGGAUGACGUCAAAUCAGCACGGCCUUGUACGUCCGGGGCUACACACGUGUUACAAUGGGUGGUACAGAGAGUUGGGUGCCCGCAAGGUCACUCUAAUCAAUAAAUCCAUCCUCAGUUCGGACUGGGGUCUGCAACCCGACCCCACGAAGCUGGAUUCG
rnacentral:rRNA from 1 species